AUGGAAACUAAGUGUCAGUGCCAAGGCAGAAGAUUUUAUUAUAUUCUUUUCUCUUUCUUUGCUUCUGCUCAGGCUUCAAUGUAUCCUUGUUUUCUCCUCCCUCCCUACCUCAGCAGAGCCCAUCAUGUUGUAAACUCCUUUAAAGAAGGGCCUACGUCAUAUCUAUCUUUACUAUCCCAAGGACCAAAACAGCAUCGUAUACACAGAUAGUCCAGUGGCUAGAGAACCAGACCUGGAGAUGAGAGUUCCUGGGAUAAAAUCUGUUCCUUGACAUGUCCUAGUGUGGAAGAGGCAUGAAGAGAGAGAGGACUUACAAGACAAGCCAAGCAUGCAAGACACAAAGCUGGGGACCUGAUCUGCCAAUCAAGGCUGCCCAGAGACGGGCUCCAAGGACUCCCUGCUUGUCUGUUCUAAAGACAUGGUGGCAGCAGUCAGCAAUCAGCAACAGCAGUAUGAACAACAACAGCAGCAGGAGGAGCAGGAGCAGAACAGCAGCUCCAAAAAAGAAUUUGGAGUUCUCUUGGAGUUUGCAAGGAGGGGGGGGGCUGAUGGGUGGGGUGAAAAACCAUGGUAGGAGAAAUGUGCCUUUGAAAAAUUUAUCUAAGCUGUCUUAAAAAAUUGAGAAUUUUUCUCCAACUUCAGUGGUUGCCAUCAUUGUAAAAAUUAAAAUCAAUAUACAAUACUGUAAAUAUUUUAUUUUGUAAGAUUUAUUAAUAAUCACUAGAAGUAACAAAAUAAAAAGGUAACAAAAUAAAACCA
rnacentral:lncRNA from 1 species